rnacentral:rRNA from 1 species
AGAGUUUGAUCCUGGCUCAGGACGAACGCUGGCGGCGUGCUUAACACAUGCAAGUCGAACGAUGAACCACUUCGGUGGGGAUUAGUGGCGAACGGGUGAGUAACACGUGGGCAAUCUGCUCACUCUGGGACAAGCCCUGGAAACGGGGUCUAAUACCGGAUAACACUGCGGAUCGCAUGGUCUGUGGUUAAAAGCUCCGG